GGCUUGUUAUGUGGUUCGCGUGAGACGAACCAGGACAUUUUUCUUUACCAGUCAAACCAGUAACUCUGGAUAGAGAAAACACACACAAGUACAGCAACAGGUUGAGUCUCCUGUCGCUCUUUUUCUCGUGUGCUUCUCCUGGAAUAAUCUUCUCUCCUUCCCCGUGUACUACAAUUGAGUUUCCUUUUCUUUUGUUUGCUUCUCUUGGAGAAAGGUGAACCCUCGUGUUACUGUUUUAUUUGAUCUUUGUUCUUAAUUGUAGUUUUUACCCUUGUGGUCCCUGAUGGCUUCGCACAGUGAUACUCUGGUGGUGUUCUUUGGGGCAACAGCUGGUGCAAAUGGGGGUAAACUGGGGUCGGAUGAAAGGGAAUUAAUUCUCUUGGUGUGGCAAAUUGUGGAUCUACAUGAGAAGAAGGUGGGCAAGCUUCAGCGGCGUCUAGUCAAGCCGGACAGUGUGGAUCUUACAGACCAGUGUGAGGAGGAGACCGGGCUCACGGCGGACGAACUGUGUAAGGCCGAGCCGCUGGACAGCGUCCUGCAGCAGUUUCAUCAGUCGGUGUCCGCUGAAUUGAAGUCUCUUGGCAGAAGCUCCUACUCGCUGUGUGUGGACGGACCACUGCUUAUCCGACAGGUGCUGCAUCCUGAGGCCUCCAAAAAGAAUCUGGUUUUGCCUGAGUGUUUCUACACAUUUGUGGAUUUGAAGAAAGAGUUUCACAAAUGCUGCCCCAAUGCAGGCCUUGUCAAAGAUCUCACUCUGCCCUCCAUGCUGGACUAUGUGUGUAUUCCAGCGGUGGUGGAUCAGGAGGCAGGAUUGAGGGAGGUGAACACCAUGGUUCUGCUGAUGCUGCAUCUCCUGGCUGAGCCUUACAAUCACAAAUUCUCCACUUUUGAGACCGUAAACUACAAAUUUGAAUCCGGAGCAUGCAGUAAGACAGAAGCUGUGGACAGCGAGACCAUCAUCAGAGCUCGUGGGUUGCCAUGGCAGUCGUCUGAUCAGGACAUCGCUCGCUUUUUCAAGGGCCUCAACAUUGCCAAAGGUGGUGUUGCGCUGUGUCUAAAUGCUCAGGGCCGGAGAAACGGGGAGGCUCUUGUGCGCUUCAUAAACUCCGAGCAAAGAGACAUGGCACUGGAUAGACAUAAACACCACAUGGGCAGCAGAUACAUAGAGGUAUAUAAAGCCACAGGGGAGGAAUUUCUGAAAAUUGCUGGAGGCACAUCCAAUGAGGUAGCUCAGUUUCUUUCAAAGGAAAACCAGGUGAUUAUCCGAAUGCGGGGUCUUCCAUUCACUGCUAGUCCUCAGGAUGUCCUGGGGUUCCUGGGUCCAGAGAGCCCUGUGACGGAUGGGACGGAAGGACUUUUAUUUUUGAAGUACCCUGAUGGACGUCCCACAGGCGACGCUUUUGUUCUCUUUGCCUGUGAGGACUAUGCGCAGAAUGCCCUAAAGAGGCACAAACAAAUCCUUGGCAAGAGAUACAUCGAGCUGUUCCGCAGCACUGCAGCUGAGGUCCAACAGGUGUUGAAUCGCUACAUGUCCGCUCCACUGAUCUCCACUCUACCACCUCCUCCCCCUCCGAUGGUUUCUUUGCCUGUUCUAUCCACGCCACCCUACAUUGCAUCUGGCAGCAUACGGGACUGCAUCAGGCUGAGAGGUCUGCCGUACACCGCUGCCAUCGAGGACAUUCUACAAUUUAUGAGCGAACACACCAUUGAUAUCAAACCACAUGGAGUGCACAUGGUCCUGAACCAGCAGGGUCGACCCUCCGGUGAUGCCUUCAUUCAGAUGAAGUCAGCUGACCGUGCGUUUAUGGUGGCACAGAAGUGCCAUAAGAAGAUGAUGAAGGAUCGUUAUGUGGAGGUGUUCCAGUGCUCCACUGAGGAAAUGAGCUUCGUGCUGAUGGGGGGAACUCUUAACCGCAGUGGCCUGUCACCGCCUCCCUGCAAACUGCCCUGUCUCUCUCCACCAACCUAUGCUUCAUUUCCGGCAACUGCAGCUAUGCUUCCCGCUGAAGCAGCGUUGUAUCAGCCCCCUCUGCUGGCCACUCCAAGAACUCCACAGCCACCAACACACAGCCAUGCACCUACUUUAGCCUACUACUCUCCAACGCCACAGCUUUACAUGAACAUGAACUACACUACCUACUACCCCAGUCCUCCAGUCUCGCCCUCCACCAUGAGUUAUUUUGCAGCCCCGCCCGGUUCACUAGCAGCUGCCAUGGCUGCCCAGACAGCCUCCGCCAUCCUGCCUCCUCAGCCUGGAGCUCUGGUACGAAUGCAGGGCCUGCCAUACAACGCCGGGGUGAAAGACAUCCUCAGCUUCUUUCAGGGAUAUCAGCUGACAUCUGAUUAGAUGGAGUCUUCAGAAGACGGUAUGGCACUUUCACUUGGAGAAGGAGGGAAGAGGGUUGUAAAUGAUAGAGGGAUGGUUAGAUGGAGAUGAAUGAUACUUUGUUGUGGGGAUUGGCCUUUGUGUGCUUUGUCUCUCACAAUAUGCAGUCAAGGAGGUUUUACAGUAAUUAUUGUUUAUUUUAUAUUAUUGUGGGGUAUGGUAAAUCUGUCUUUGGCAUGCAGUGUCCCUGCCCUCCCCUUUGAGGUGUGUGAAGCGUGUAACUGAGCUGUGUGCGUGUGGCGCUGUUCACGGAGCGUAGCACAGUGGCACGUGUGUGAGAAGCUGAUUCAGGUUUGACUUCUGGCUGAACUGAUGAAAUGGAUCCGAGGCCAAUCCACCCUCCAAGUGUGCUUUUAACCUCUGAGACAAAAUACACACUACAGGCCUCAGUGUGCGGGAAGUGUUUCUUUUUGGCUGGUGGUCUGCACCCUCCACCCCCUUUCUAUAUCUAUACUGCAUUCAUGCUUGCACAUCUUGUGUGCAACCCUGUACAAUUCAUACUUGUUUUUUCUUCCUGAUGUGCAAUGUAUUUUGUGUGUUGUGUGUUCUGUGUCAUUUAAAUAUAUAUGUUUGGGGACAUACAGUACAGGUAUGACCUCUUGUGGUAUUCCAAAAGGCAAUGAGCAUUAGAUCUGUGUAUAUUAAGCCUUUUAAAGAACCCCAAAUAAUAUAUGAUGGUGACAAUAGUCUUGUAACUCUAGUAACCGUCAGUAUGCACAAAAGCCCUUAAAGGAAUAUUCCGGGUUCAAUACUUGUUAAGCUCAAUCAACAGCAUUGGUGGUAUAAUGUUGACUUCCACAAAAAUGUAUUUCAAUUGGUAUCUCCUUUUUUAAUGUUUUUUUUUAUUAUAAAUUAAGGUUAUAGUGAAGCACUUACAAUGGAAGUGAAUGGGGCCAAUAUUUGGAGGGUUUAAAGGCAGAAACGUGAACCUUAUAAUUUUAUAAAAGCAUUUACAUUAAUUCUUCUGUUAAAACUUGUGUAUUAUUUUGAGCUGUAAUGUUUAAAUUGUCAUUUACUGGGAUUACAGGGCUUAUGGUGUUAUGUCGCCAUGGUGAAGUCAUACUAACACGCAUGUUGUUUGUCGUUGCAAGUAUUUUAACGUUUACGGAUUCCCCAUUCGCUUCCAUUGUAAGUGCCUCGAUGAAACCUUCCUUUAUACUUUUUUUAAAGAAAAAGAGGGGAAGUUUAAAUACAUUUUUGUGGUAAUUAACAUUAUGCCACGAAUGCUGUAAAUUGAGCUUAACUUGUAUUGAAACUGGAAUAUUCUAAGAUUCUUUAAAGUAUUCAAAUAAACACAAAGUAGAAAUUAGGGGUGUGAAUAUGAGCGCUGACAUUGAUUUGAUUAAAUUAUUAUUCUUCACUAAAUGUUAAGAUGCAUCAUGAAAAUGUUUACACUACUCCCUACUCGUCGGUAUGCUAAUAAUGUUUUUCAAUACAAUGCUGAUAUGAUCUGCUAGAACAGAACAUUUUUUUAAAAAAAUGGCAUUUUGCAAAUUGCAUUGGACAAGUGAAUGUAUAAUAAUAAAUGAUAAAUUCCUUAAAUGCAUUGCAUACAAACAAAUAAUUGAAUCUACUCCGUCAGAUUGAUGCAUCUUUACACCCCUAGCAUAAAAUGCAUAUACUACUCUGCCGUCACCUGUGUAUAUAUACAUGCAUGACCACCAUUGAAAGAUGUGAUGAAUGAGUGAAAAGUGAGGCAUGUAGCACUGACUGUGGCUCAUUGUGCUGUAGUACGCUCCUGAAGACUACAGCAGCUUGGUUGGAGUGAGUGAUCAGGGCCGGAGUCUCAUUCAGCCUAAAGAGUGGCUGUGUCUGUAGGGGGAGCUCCUGCAGAUUCAGGCGGACUCUGUGCUCGUGCUGUAUAAUUGGAGUGGUCAGCGUAGUGGGGAGGCUCUGGUGACCUUCCCCAGUGAGAAGACAGCGAGACUGGCUGUGGCUGAACGCUCCAACCUUCCCCUCUCCGGCCACCCCAUCCGCCUGGUCUGCUGCGAGUGACUAAACGGGGACCACCACACCCACUGAGGGAGGACAGCACUUCAACUAUCUCACCCAUUUCUCCCUCAGAACCCGUCUUGACAGUUUUUCCUCUGCACUUGACUCAAGGUUGUAGUUUAGGAGGGGAUCUGACACAGAAACGCGCACAAACAAAAACUAACAGCAAAUUUAACAAGUGACAGUGCCUUGCUGCUUGUGGACAUGCAAGUGUUUAUGAGAGAGAGAAAUAGAGAGAGCAAAUGCAUGAAAGAUAAACUCUGUUCCUACUUGUGUUUUGAUGUCAAGAACCCUUCUAUUCUAUUUCAGGCCUUGAAGUAAUAUAGUAACAUUGAAAGCCUGCAGUUUGUGCAACAAAAAUUAAGCAGAAAAUGUUCCUUUUGCAACACCACAGCAUCAUUCCUGAAACGUGACACCAGGUAGUCCUGUAAACUAAUGUUAGGCCAUAGCCUUUACCUUGCACUAGGGAACCAAAAAGUAAUGCAAUACUACUUAUUGCCAUUAUUAAAGAAAAAGAAAGACUUAUUCAACUACAACUUAAAGUACAGUGGGAUUUUAAGUAAGACUAAGACUAUUAUGUUUCAUGUAGGAUUAAAAAAACGGCAUGAUGGUUUUCCUUGACUUUGGACAAAAAUAGCCUUAACUUAAUCCUUAUUUAAUAAAGAUCAGACAAAGUGUGUACUCCGUAGACUUGAAUGAACUGAUUUUUAGUUUAAUCCAUUCAGAAAGGGACAUGUUUUUUAUUUAAAGUGAAAGAUGAGUUGUUUGUAUGAUCUGCAUGCUUUCAUGCUCGUUCUUUACAAAUUGAAUUGAAAGAGCUGUGUAUUCUGUUGCCCCCCACAUUAGAGAUUAUGUGCAGAAUAUGUACAACCAUGCCAUGGUCUUAUCUUGCUAUUGAUGCUAUCUACUUCAGUUCUUUUCUACUGAUAGCAGGUUGCUAAAAUCAUACUAGAGUUUUUUCUUUCAUGACUACAUUACCCAAAGUGCAAUACAGGCUGAACAAAAUGGCACACCUCCAUUGUGAAAGAGGGGGAUUUUUUUCUUUUGUUUUCUAAAACUUAUGAAUUUGUAUGUAUGUGAAUAUGUGACUGUUAUGCAACAAAUAAAUUGAUAUUGAUCUGAUAUA